rnacentral:lncRNA from 1 species
AACCACGCCCUCUGAUGGUGCCAAAGAAGAAACAGAUCUUCAUUUAAGUUACCUUUUCGUUUAAAUAAGUAAACCAGUAGAGUAAAAUAGUGUUUAUACUUACCAUGAGAGCAGCGCUUUGCCAAGGCCAGCUUUUGGUCAAGGGAAGCCAAGGUAGCAGAUUGAGCCACAUUUUUAGCCAUUAUGAAUUAAAUAUGAUGACAAUCAAAUGAAACAAGUUGAAGAGGAAAUUAGAAAGUGUAAGUAUGAUUGUGAAUGUUUUGAUGAAGAGAUUGUAAUUAGUGAAUGGGUAUUUAUAAGGGGAAAAUGUGUUAUGGAGUGGGUGUGAGAUACAAAAGGGACUGUGCCUCGGGUGUUGAGGGGAGUGUUUGAUGGUUUCCUCCAAUUCCAGCGUCAGAGACUCUUGUUUUUUCACUUGGAUUUCUGAUAUUGUCGGUUCGGCCCCUUGCUCAUGCACUGUUCCCUAUAAUAUGUAAAAGGAAUUAAAAUAGUACAAAUCUUUUAAAUUUUAUUAAUGCUGAAAAGAAAUAUUAUUUUAAUUCACACCUUAUAUAUUAUUACACUAUGGUACAUUUGUGAUUAAAUGAAAAUAAUAUUAAGUAAAAUUUUGGUUUGAAAGGUUAAAUUCAAUAAAGUUCAAAUUUUAAAUAUAUAUGAGUAUUUUGUUCAGCUUAUAUAAAAGACAGAAUAUAUUUAAAAUAAUAUAAUUUAUUUUAUAAAAAAUAUAAAGUGGGUUUAAUUUUGUCUAGUAAAACUUUAAUUAUUAUGGAAAAUAACAUCUUAUUUCUAUACUUAAUUAAGUUUUAACAAUUUAUAAAUAAAUUCUACGCAAUUAUGGAUAAAGAUCCCAACAAAAAAAGCAUGGACGGUGGAGUAGAAAGAGAUCACGUGGAGCCGACAGCUUGUAAUGAGAUGAUUUUAAAAUGAAAUUGGAGAUGAAACUUGUUAUUGGCAAAUUCCAAGAAGAUAGCCCAGCAGGGAAGAUGUUGGGCUUGUUUUACUUUCUGUGUAGAAGAAUGCAGAGCUGGAAUUAGGUUUUUUUUUAAAAAAUUGUAAUAAAAUAUUGAUUAAUAUUUCAUGUAUUUUUAUUAUUUAAAUUGAAUUUAGGCUAAAUUAAGACAAAUUAAAGUGUGAAAGUACCUGUUUCAAUUCAACCCAAGUAGGAACAGAUUUAUUAGGUUGACCUGACUACCGACUCUAUGAAUGGUCUAACAAUAAUUAAGGUAGAGAUACUUAGAGGUUGGUUUAAAAUGUUUAGGAUUUUGAUUAAAUAUAACUACUUGAUAUAAAGAAUGUAAUAUACUCUCUCAAUUAAUGUUUAAAAAUUCAAAUUAAUUUUUAAACUCACUUGUAAAUCAAUAAUAUCAAAUAAGAGUAAUGGGAAGAGGGUAUUAUCAAAGAGGUGCUGCAAAUAGCCUUGCCGUAGCUCUACCUAAAACCGGUAUUGAUAAGAUUUGUGAUAUUUUAGUACAUACAACUUGAUUACGCUUUAUCUGGUACUUUUGGGUGGAUUUUCUUAUAUUUCAUUAUUGAUUAAUUGUUACUUUUAUAUUGGGUUCUUGAUGACUCGUUUUGUUUUUAUGUUAUUUUAAAGCAUCACAUGGAUAAAAUGGCAUGAUAUUUUAAUGAUCCGAAAUCCAAGAUGAAAUUGGGGAGCAUAUGAUUUGGAGAAAGCAAUUAAAGUUCAUUAGGCCAAUCUAAGCUUAAAACCUUGUGCUAUUUAAGCAAACCAGCCAACUUUUAUUAAAUGAGUUGAUUUCAAGGAUGGUAUGCCUUCAUGCAAAGGACUAUUGGUGAAAACUGGAUGGAUGGAUGGAUGGAAGUGAAUUUUCUUAGUGCAUACUUGUAAAUAGAAACCAUCUUUUAUUUAUAUAUAUACAGAUAGGAUGGAUAUUACAUAGCAGCUGAAGCUAAUAGCUUCUACGGAUACAAAUACAACUCUCCCCACCCAGUCUUUUAUAGCCAACUGAAUGGUAAUAAUCAUGGCGUACAUGCCGAGUUUAAAUCAGCCAACUCAAAUUCAUGCUUCCUUGUUAGGAGCCUGCUUGAAGGAGUUCUUCCGUGCCGUAGCCAAAACGGUCUUGUCUGCAACUAUAAAAUAAGCAGCUCCGGCCGCUGCAAUGGAAUAGAAACUUCAUUAACAAAAGGAUUUUAUUAUUACUAAAAAACAAGAUCUCGAGCUGAUGGUAAAAGGAUGAUUGAUGAAAACCAGUGGAGAUGAUGAGAGCUUGUGCAGUGUGAUUAAGAUUGGCUCUUGCCCAAGGCAACAUCCUUACACUAGCUAGCUGCAUAUUCAUGUCAAGGCAAGGGAUGGAAAUAUUACCAAUUAAUCAUCACUAAGAAAAGAAAAAAAUGAUCUAAUAUGGGAUAUUGUCUUUCGCAUACUUACAGUUGGAAUUGCGGUGGCAAUGGUAGCAACAACGGCGGCCUUAGCUCCAGCAACCACACCCUCUGAUGAUGCAAAAUAAGAAACAGUGUUUAUACUUUAGCAUUAAUAUAUUUCAUUUAAAUCAAAUUAAACCUAAAGCUAUUAUUAUCACUAACCCUUUAAAAAAUUUGAAGAAAGCUGGAAGGAAAAGAGAAACUUACCAUGAGAACAGCGUUUAGCCAUGGCCAGCUUUUGGUCAAGGGAAGCCAAGGUAGCAGAUUGAGCAACAUUUUUAGCCAUUAUGAAUGAAAUAUGAUGAUAAUCAGAGGAAACAAAAUGGAAAUGAUAAUGAAACUAGUUUAAGAGGAAAUUAAGGAAGUGUAUACAUGUGAUUGUGAAGGGUUUGAUGAAG